GAUCAAGUGAAAGAAGGGCAUUUGGUGGAUGCCUUGGCAUGCACAGGCGAUGAAGGACGUGAUACGCUGCGAAAAGCCGUGGGGAGCUGCGAAUAAGCUUUGAUCCAUGGAUCUCCGAAUGGGGCAACCCACCUUAGAUGCUUGGAAAAUUUAAGCCGUGCGAUGUACGGCUUAGGUUUCCAAGCAUUGUUGAAAGGUAUCUUAUCCUGAAUACAUAGGGAUAAGAAGCGAACGCAGGGAACUGAAACAUCUAAGUACCUGCAGGAAAGGACAUCAACCGAGACUCCGCAAGUAGUGGCGAGCGAACGCGGACCAGGCCAGUGGCAAUGAGGAAUAAAGUGGAAGGAUCUGGAAAGGUCCGCCGUAGCGGGUGACAGCCCCGUACACGUAGAACACUCAUUGUCCUUGAGUAAGGCGGGACACGAGAAAUCCUGUCUGAACAUGGGGAGACCACUCUCCAAGCCUAAGUACUCGUGCAUGACCGAUAGCGAACAAGUACCGUGAGGGAAAGGUGAAAAGCACCCCGACAAGGG
rnacentral:rRNA from 1 species